rnacentral:rRNA from 1 species
UACGUAGGCAGCGAGCGUUGUUCGGAGUUACUGGGCGUAAAGGGCACGCAGGCGGUGCGGCGCGUUUCGCGUGACAGCGGAGGGCUUAACUCUCCGAGGAUGCGAAAGACGGCGGCACUUGAGGGCCAGAGAGGGACACGGAAUUCCGGGUGGAGUGGUGAAAUGCGUAGAGAUCCGGAGGAACACCGAAGGCGGAGGCAGUGUCCUGGCUGGUGACUGACGCUGAGGUGCGAAAGCUAGGGGAGCGAACGGG